rnacentral:lncRNA from 1 species
ACACGUUUCUCUCCCGGUCCACCCUCUCUCUUCAGUCUUCACCCUGCGCCCGCGGCCGUCCAGUGCAAAAACUCCAAACUGAUCAAAUCCUCCUCCUCCGCCGUUGCCUCCCCCCUUCAUUCCCUAGACCUGCCACGGAACACGCGCGCGCUUCCAUUCCUAGCCCACGCCGAAGCGAAGCACGCCACCGGCCGCCACCAAGGGUCUUCCCUAGCACUCAUCCUUGCCGUCCUCGUCCUCCUCUUCUCCAGGGGACCGCCGCGUAGCAGAGAUCCGCCCGCGACAUAGCCUGACUUCUUCGCUUGCCGGUAAGGAAUCUCUAGCUUCCUUUCACGGGUUGUUCGGAGAGCAAGCCCCGUUGCGGAUGAUAGAUAGGAUAUUUUCUUUGCUAGUAUAAGGCUCUUAGCAAUCGGAUCCGGAUCUCGCUUGCUGGGAUGGAUGCUCCGAUCCACCCAUCAAGCCUGCUGCUGCAGCGUGAUUCCGUGUCAGCGGCGGAAGGAUGUGCGGAUUGGGUUUAAUUGGCCGCGAAACUCGUGUUAUCUUAUCUUUGACUCGCUGUAGAAAUCCAUCUAUUCUUAGCCUGCGCAGCUGGUCCGAAUUAAGGUCAACGGAUGGCAGGAUAGGCAGGCUGGCCGAAUCUUGGCUAUUACUGGCUGUCAUGUGCGUGGUGGUCGUCGAAACGCAGAUCGUACCAAACACGAGCUAAUUGAAUAAGUGAAUCAAUUAUAGCAUGGGUAGAUGGUAUUAAUAAACUAAGGGGGAACCUCCCUUGAGGUUGUGGGAAGAACCAACCGCUGUCUCGUUAGAGAUCAAUUAGUUCAUCAGAGGGACUAAACUCUAACGAGGCUAGAGGUUGGUUCUUGAGGCCAGACGGAGAUUGUUCAUACCAUCCGUUGUUGUUUCUAGUUUUCUAGCGUAGCUGCUUCAGUAAUUCCAACUUGUUCAGGGUAAGUUGCUUUGCAAAUUUUUUAGCCUUGUACCCUUGUCAUAUGUUGUUGAAUUUCAUGAACCUAAUAAAAUGGAGGGUUGGUUCCCAAUUUCUAGUUUGGAUAGGGAUUUGUCCUGUAUGUCAGCAGGCCAGCCAUAUUUAUUUGAUUUGACUAUUAGACAAAAACUAGCGCAAUUACAAGACGAUUCAGAUCUUCUUGUCCUUGGCCUCGCCCCUUUCUAGUCAUGUGAGGGGAAAAUAUAUGAUGCAGAUAGGACGUUCUGCAAAUUCCUUUCACAGUAGAGCAUAGAAACUUGUUUUUGCUUCUUUUGUCCAUGUGAACUAUUUAGAGUUUGAGACACUGCUUUGCCUUGCGAUCAGAAGAAUAUAACAUCUACGCACCUUUGAUUUAUCUCAAUUGAUAGAACAAAUCAUAACCAGUUAAUCCAACAGCAUCAUGUAUAUGUCAAGAGUGAAACAUUGUCUUGUUUAUGCUUCAUCCACUGAAAUUCACACAUUAUAUGUGAGUAUUUUCUACAUAUACACGAGUGCCCCCCUACCUAAUGCAAGGAUGUAAGUGUAACUGCAGUUGAGAAAACUUCCGAGUUCUGAGGAUGCUUUGAGUCUGUGAUCUCCUGUCUUGGUAAUGUAUAAAGUAAAUGCAGUGAUAAUUUCAAAAUGCAGAUUCCUGCUACUGUUUCCUUAAUUCCAGUUAACCUAAAUUACUAAAUUUGUGCUUCAGGUAUGAUUAAGGUCCACUUUUCUUCUUGAAUGUAUUGUUGGUUCUAAUAAUACUGAGGUAGUAUUAUCGCUGUGUGCACUUUGUAUUGCUACUGGGAUGACAAUAUAGUAGUUUGGACCUUGUUGGUUAAUACCUUGCAUUUUGUUUCUUCACUCCACUCAAUGUGGCAGUUGACAGUGAUGGAAGUUAAUCUGUUCUUUGCUCUCUGAUGUUUAGCUGACUUUAAGACUAUUGCAUUUUCAUUUUCCUUUGGAAGUACUAAGUAGAGGGUAGAUAAACUAUUCAGCUGGGAUCUUUCUUUAUGACAAUAGUCCGUUGCAGCAUAGCAGGUAGUCCAGAGCUUUCAGCAAUCAAUUUAGUUGCCAAAUGAUGAAUUCUUCCUUCCAAAUUGUUUUCUCCCUAGCCUUCUGGGACUCUGUUCCUGCAGAAAUAGGAGUGUUUUUUCCUGUUCCUUGGUUGUGUUACUACUUUUAGGUUUUGCCAUGUCAUGUAUGCUUUAUAUGCUCUUCCUAAUCCUACUACAUCAUUUCACAAGUCUCUAGAGUUCUGAUGGCCUUCAACCCUCGAAAUGCAGCCUUCAAUUGAUGGCCUCACCUUCAGCACCAACCGACAGUCAGGAAGCUGCUCGUCAGUCUCUGAUCGCAAUCUCCCAGUCUGUACCGGAGACACCUUCACCCCAGACGGUGAAGACACCGACCUCCACUGAAGAGAACGGGAAGCUGGAGGAUGGGGCUGACAAGUACAGAUCGAAGCUGAUGUCCAUCACAGACCUGUCUUCUGACGCCCAACCUACGCCGUGCCCUCCCAAGGAUGUUGCCGCUUAACCGUGUGAUGCUCGUUGCU